UAGGGAAUCUUCCACAAUGGACGCAAGUCUGAUGGCGCAACGACGCGUGAGUGAAGAAGGUUUUCGGAUCGUAAAGAUCUGUUGUUGGUGAAGAAGGAUAGAGGCAGUAACUGGUCUUUAUUUGACGGUAAUCAACCAGAAAGUCACGGCUAACUACGUGCCAGCAGCCGCGGUAAUACGUAGGUGGCAAGCGUUGUCCGGAUUUAUUGGGCGUAAAGCGAGCGCAGGCGGAAUGAUAAGUCUGAUGUGAAAGCCCACGGCUCAACCGUGGAACUGCAUCGGAAACUGUCAUUCUUGAGUGCAGAAGAGGAGAGUGGAAUUCCAUGUGUAGCGGUGGAAUGCGUAGAUAUAUGGAAGAACACCAGUGGCGACUGCGGCUCUCUGGUCUGCAACAGACGCUGAGGCUCGAAAGCAUGGGUAGCGAACAGG
rnacentral:rRNA from 1 species